AGAAAGCCUACUAGCAUGCUACAGCAGAGCUUGAUAGCUUGCUAAAGGGGGGCUAACAAGCAUGCUACAGCGGAGCACGCUAGCUCACUACAGAGGAGCUUGUUAGCUUGCUACAGUGGAGCUUGCUAGCUUGCUAAAGGGGGGGCUGGUCAGCAUGCUACAGCAGAGCUUGCUAGCUCGCUACAGAGGAGCUCACCAUCAUGUUAAAGCGGAGCUUGCUACAUGGGAGGUAGCUAGCUUGAUACAAUGAAGCUCAAUACAACAUAGCUCACUAGCUAAAGAUGAGCUCCUAGCUAGCUUGGUGUAGCAGAGCUCGCUGCAGCGGAGCGGUCCAAGUGGCGGCGGGCUAGCGUAGCGAGUGUUUCCACUUAAGUCAAAGUGGGCAAACACAACCAGGGCCACAAACCAAUUAGGGGACCCACAAUUUCUGCCACUUUCAAACCAUGAGGGGCCCACUUGGCCUUGCUGGCUGGGAUGAAGAUGAAGAUGAAGAUGAAGAUGAAGACACCUACAGUUUGAAGCCAGGUUCUGAGCGGAAUGGGACUUCUGCAAAGGGGAGUCCACGGUCAGCAACUCCUUCCACGCCGGGCCGGACCUCCUCCAGUGGUGGGAUCCGGAGGACUUCCUGCUGGUUCUGAGUUUAACCGGGACGUCCCACUCCCUGCUAGCACAAGGAACCACCGCCUCCACUUCCUCUCACCCCUCAGUUCUGCAGCCGGACGCAGAACCGUCCUCCACCGUCGUCUGGACCCUCAGCAGUGGAGGUUUGGCGUCGAGGUCUUUUCCCGCCAUUUUGGUAAACAGAGGAACUCUUCUGCACAAAAAACAAAACCGAAAAUGUCUUUUCCGUCACAUUUUCAUGACUGAAACUGAUGUCAUUUUGACAUUUUUGGUUUGAGCUACCUGUCAUGGCGUCCUCUGGACAGGAAGCGCGAGGAGAUGCUGACCCUUUGGGCGCAGUUCUGCUCAACUGCAGAGAAAACCAGGAUGGAGGUUCAGAAAUGCCGGUUUAAAAGAAAUAGAGGAAGAACUUCUUCACGCUUUUUCUUUUACUGCCGCAGCUUUCUCCCAGCGUCUCGUAGUUCUCCUUCAGGAAGUCCUGCUGGCCGUGGUCGGCGUUGACUCUCCUCAGAGCUUCGUCCAAACUCGUCACCGCCUCCGGCGUUUCCUCUUUCUCAUCCUCCUCUUCCUCCUCAGAGCUGCUGCGGUUACGAGACUCUCCGUCUGAAGACACAAAGAAAUGUAACCGUCAUAAUUGAUUAACCUUUUGUAUCAUAUUUGAUACAUGAGGCAGUAGAAGAUGAAAUCUCAAAAACACUUUUGGCGGGAAAAGUUUAGCUAGUUUUUAAGGCUACAUAAUGAGAAGAACUCAUUUAUUCUUAUCCUUUUUUUUAAUGAUUACUUUUUAUUUAUAGAUAAUUAAUUCGUUAUAAUUCAGUUACACUUUGGUAAAAAUGUGUGGGUUC
rnacentral:lncRNA from 1 species